CUUGAUUUUUCCAGUGGCAUAUCAAGCUUUGGUGGAAGCUGCCUGGAUGUUGAUGGAAGUUUUGCAAAGGGCAAGGGAAAGUUUUGUGCUACAGUGGGGACUGAAACAGACCACUGAUUUCCAGACUGAAGUCGAAGAGGAGGAGGACAAUAUGUCCCUGGGUGCCUGUGAGGUGGAGAAGUGCAGAUGGCCAUCCACUGUGCAAAGGUGUACCACUUCCACAAGGAAAACUCUUCUGAAACUCAUUUUGAAGGAACUCAGUGUGGCUCUGAGAAAGACUGGUGCAAAACAGG